rnacentral:rRNA from 1 species
AACGAACGCUGGCGGCAGGCCUAACAUAUGCAAGUCGAACGCAUCCUUCGGGGUGAGUGGUGCACGGGUGAGUAACACGUGGGAAUGUAUCCUUUGGUUCGGAAUAACGUCUGGAAACGGACGCUAAUGCCGGAUGAGCCCUUAGGGGGAAAGAUUUAUCGCCGAAGGAGCAGCCCGCGUCUGAUUAGGUAGUUGGUGGGGUAAAGGCCUACCAAGCCGACGAUCAGUAGCUGGUCUGAGAGGAUGAUCAGCCACACGGGGACUGAGACACGGCCCAGACUCCUACGGGAGGCAGCAGUGGGGAAUAUUGGACAAUGGGCGCAAGCCUGAUCCAGCCAUGCGGCGUGAGUGAUGAAGGCCUUCGGGUUGUAAAGCUCUUUCGCACACGACGAUGAUGACGGUAGUGUGAGAAGAAGCCCCGGAUAACUUCGUGCCAGCCGCCGCCGUAAUAC